rnacentral:lncRNA from 1 species
AGUAAUGAAAAGUCUGAAAGGGAUUUUGCAGCAACUUGAGACUCUUCACUUGGCUUAAGCCUAAUCAUAUUCAAUGUUAGUAGCAGGAAAGAAAUUUGAUCAAUUAUGUCAUGAUUAAAGUGAAGUUUGAAAGUUUAUGCCUGCAAUGAUGCAGCUCUUACUGCUAAGAGAUUCCAAUAGUGAACAAGAGCACAUAUUGACACCCAACAUAUAGCUUUUGCCCUUUCCUUUUUAGGACGAUUUGCAACCCACCAAAUUGCUCACAUGCUAUCACAAUAAUUUCAACUCCUUUUCCUCCAAUUAUUCCAUGCAUAAAAAUAAUAAUAAUAAUUGAAGAUCCAACAAGCUAACGACCUUAUUUUCUUCUGAAUGUUCAGCAACAAUUGCUCCAAGAUCUUCUUCCUCCAAUUUGAAUUUAUGCUCACCAACUGGGUGAGUUGCUUGGAUAUCAAGCAUUAAAGUACUUGUUCUUUCAGAAACCCAUAAUACAAAAUCUCAUAAGAUCUGCUAAUUAUGUUUUGGAAAAAAUUUCAGUUUACUCCCCUGAAUUUAAGGUCUAAAAUCAGUCUGAUACCUCAUCUUUUUUUUUAAUCAGUUUCAUCCAUAAACUUUCAAAAUGACAUCA